GGGGAAUUUUGGACAAUGGGGGCAACCCUGAUCCAGGCAUGCCGCGUGAGUGAAGAAGGCCUUCGGGUUGUAAAGCUCUUUCGGCCGGGAAGAAAUCGUGCAGGCUAAUACCCUGUAUGGAUGACGGUACCGGAAUAAGAAGCACCGGCUAACUUCGUGCCAGCAGCCGCGGUAAUACGAAGGGUGCAAGCGUUAAUCGGAAUUACUGGGCGUAAAGCGCGCGUAGGUGGUUUGGUAAGAUGGAUGUGAAAUCCCCGGGCUCAACCUGGGAACUGCAUCCAUAACUGCCUGACUAGAGUACGGUAGAGGGUGGUGGAAUUUCCUGUGUAGCAGUGAAAUGCGUAGAUAUCAGGAGGAACACCGAUGGCGAAGGCAGCCCCCUGGGCCUGUACUGACGCUCAGGCACGAAAGCGUGGGGAGCAAACA
rnacentral:rRNA from 1 species